GCUGGGUGUAGCGGCGCAUGCCUGUUAUCCCAGCAGCUGGGAGGCUGAGACAUGAGGACUGGGAGUUCAAAGCCAGCCUCAGCAAAAGCGAGGUGCUUAAGCAACUCAGGGAGGUCCUGUCUCUA
rnacentral:sRNA from 1 species